AUGGCGGAGAGGGCGCUCCCGCCGCCCGUGCCCGAGCAGGCCUCCGCCGCCGCCGCCCAGCUCAGGGCGCCGCCGCACGAGACCUACGUCGUCAAGGUCCAGAAGGACCAGAUAUACCGCGUGCCGCCCCCCGAGAACGCCUACCUCGCCGAGCGGUACCGCGCGGAGCGCGCCGGCGGCGGCAAGAGCGGCGGCGGCUCGGCGUGCUCGACGCCCCUCCUGCUCACGCUCGGCCUGGCGGCCGCGGCGGUGCUGCUCCUGGGCGCCAGCGUCUGGCUCUCCGUCGUCGUGAUGCGGCCGGCCCCGCCGAGCUUCUCCGUGAACAGGCUCUCCGCGCGCAACGCGUCGGCGCAGCGCCACGCGGAGGUGGACUACGACUUCUUCCUCACGGCGAUCAACCCCAACAAGGUGACCGCGCUGUGGUACAAGGACGGGGGCACGGCCAGGCUGCUGCACCAGGGCACGGCCCUGGCCAAGGCCGCGGACGUGGGGACGCCCGAGGACGGCGGCGCGGACGCCAAGGACUUCAACGUGCUGCUGCGCGGCGGCGGCCACGCGACACCCAAGGCGGUGGAGAGGGCGCUCAGGGGGUCGAAGAAGGAGGCCGUGGCGCUGGAGCUCGCCGUGGAGUUCCCCGUGCAGGUGCACGUGGGCGCGCUCGCGUUCGCGGCCAAGAGGCUGGCCGUGGCGUGCGAGAUGAGAACGGCGGGGCUAGGGAAGCACGUGCACAUUUCGUCGCAGAAGUGCAGGAGCAGCUUCGGGAAGUGA
rnacentral:rRNA from 1 species